CUACGCACUCCUACGGGAGGCAGCAUGGGGGAAUAUUGCACAAUGGGCGCAAGCCUGAUGCAGCCAUGCCGCGUGUAUGAAGAAGGCCUUCGGGUUGUAAAGUACUUUCAGCAGUGAGGAAGGUGGGUAUGUUAAUAGCAUACUCAUUUGACGUUAGCUGCAGAAGAAGCACCGGCUAACUCCGUGCCAGCAGCCGCGGUAAUACGGAGGGUGCGAGCGUUAAUCGGAAUUACUGGGCGUAAAGCGCAUGCAGGUGGUUUGUUAAGUCAGAUGUGAAAGCCCGGGGCUCAACCUCGGAAUUGCAUUUGAAACUGGCAAACUAGAGUACUGUAGAGGGGGUAGAAUUUCAGGUGUAGCGGUGAAAUGCGUAGAGAUCUGAAGGAAUACCGGUGGCGAAGGCGGCCCCCUGGACAGAUACUGACACUCAGAUGCGAAAGCGUGGGGAGCAAACAGGAUUAGAUACCCUGGUAG
rnacentral:rRNA from 1 species